CCUACGGGUGGCAGCAGUGAGGAAUAUUGCGCAAUGGCCGAAAGGCUGACGCAGCGACGCCGCGUGAGGGAUGAAGUCCGUUAGGAUGUAAACCUCUUUUGCAGGGGAUGAAUGUCUCGCUAUACGCGGGAUUGACCGUACCCUGCGAAUAAGGAUCGGCUAACUACGUGCCAGCAGCCGCGGUAAUACGUAGGAUCCGAGCGUUGUCCGGAAUUACUGGGUGGAGUGGGUGGGUUCGUAGGUCCCUAGGGGAAUCCCGCAGCUUAACUGCGGAAUUGCCUUCGAGACUGGGGAUCUUGAGUACGGCAGAGGGAGAUGGAAUUCAUGGUGUAGCGGUGAAAUGUGUAGAUAUCAUGAAGAACACCGGUAGCGAAGGCGGUCUCCUGGUCCGUAACUGACACUGAUGCGCGAAAGCGUGGGGAGCGAACAGGAUUAGAUACCCGGGUAGUC
rnacentral:rRNA from 1 species